GUAUACCACAAUCCAGAAUGCAUGCUUGGAAACCUGUUACAGUGCCAGAGCUGAAAACUUUCCUUGGGCUUUAUUUCCUUACUGGUGUCAUCCGUAAGCCUAGCCUCAAGAUGUACUGGUGUACUGAUGAAAUAUUAGCCACACCCUACUUCAACAGGUCCAUGUCACGCAACAGGUUUCAGCUCAUCUGGAGAUUUCUCCACUUUAGUGAUAACGAGUCAUUUGACGGUACUGACAGGCUGCACAAGGUCCGCCCAGUCCUAUCCUAUGUGGUCUCCAAAUUUCAAGAGCUUUAUCAACCCCAUUCAAACAUUUGCAUCGAUGAGGGCAUGCUUCUGUGGCGUGGGCGCCUAGCCUUCAGAGUCUACAAUCCACAAAAACCAGUAAAAUAUGGCAUAAAAUCAUACAUCCUGUGUGAUUCAAGGACUGGGUACUGCUUCAACAUGAAGCCCUAUUGUGGAGAACCAGCGGCACUGGGAGACACAGUUGUUUCCCUUCUUGAUCGUCUAGCAGGUCAUGGCUAUAAGUUAUACAUGGAUAACUUUUACAACAGUGUAGCACUGUGUGAGCGACUACUUGAUUUGGACACUCAUGUUUGUGGGACACUUAGAAAAAACAGGGGGGAACCACCAGUUAUUCGGGACAUUUCUAAUUCGGACCUGGGAAUUGGGGAAACCAUUGUCCGCCACAAUGAGAGAGUGAUGGUUGUGGCAUGGCGGGACAAAAAAAUUAUCAAAAUGGUCACAAGCCUCCACCAGAACAAAAUGGAAAGGGUGGAGGUAUGGGAGAGAGGCCAAAAAAAAAGUUCCACAGCAGAAGCCAGCCUGCAUUGUUGCAUACAACAGGUGUAUGAAUGGGGUUGAUAAAUUGGACCAGAACCUUGUGUAUUAUCCAUUCAUUAGGAAGUCAGCCAAGUGGACCAAGAAAUUUGUUACUUAUCUUUUUGAGAUAUGUUUGUUCAACGCUUUCAUCAUUUACAAAGCUAAGAACCCUGAGGAAGACUGCAGCACUUUUCUCUCAUUUAUUUUAAGUGUUGUUAAGUCAUGGACCAGCCUGGCACGUUCUGGGGGUGAGGAAGGAGGAAGGGAAGCAGGUGAGGAUGCAGGAGAGGAUGCAGGAGGGGCAGCAGGAGAGGAUGCAGGAGGGGAAGCAGGGCAGAGUACUCCUAGGGCCCCAUACAUGACCGAUCCUCAGAGCAGACUGGAUGCUAAAUUUUCAGGCCAUGAGCUUGUCCAGUACCCACCCACCCUCAAGAAGAAGCAACCAGCUAGGAGAUGCAGGGUUUGCAUUAGGAAGGGGCACCGGAGUGAGACAAGAUACUACUGCAAAGCCUGUAACGUCCCCUUACAUGUUGGGGAAUGUAACACCUUGUACCACAGCAAAGUCAGUUAUGCAAAAUGAACUGUUUUUAUUUAUUUUGAUUGUUUAUUAUCUUUUAUUCGUGUAUUUGUUUUUGUUUAUGCAGC